rnacentral:rRNA from 1 species
UACGGAAGGCAGCAGUGGGGAAUAUUGCACAAUGGGCGCAAGCCUGAUGCAGCCAUGCCGCGUGUAUGAAGAAGGCCUUCGGGUUGUAAAGUACUUUUCAGUCGUGAGGAAGGUGUUAAGGUUAAUAACCUUAGCAAUUGACGUUAGCGACAGAAGAAGCACCGGCUAACUCCGUGCCAGCAGCCGCGGUAAUACGGAGGGUGCGAGCGUUAAUCGGAAUUACUGGGCGUAAAGGGCACGCAGGCGGUUAAUUAAGUUGGAUGUGAAAUCCCCGGGCUUAACCUGGGAAUGGCAUUCAAGACUGGUUAGCUAGAGUCUUGUAGAGGGGGUAGAAUUCCAUGUGUAGCGGUGAAAUGCGUAGAGAUGUGGAGGAAUACCGGUGGCGAAGGCGGCCCCUGGACAAAGGACUGACGCUCAUGUGCGAAAGCGUGGGGAGCAAACGAGGGAUUAGAUACC